UACGAAGGGGGCUAGCGUUGUUCGGAUUUACUGGGCGUAAAGCGCACGUAGGCGGAUCGUUAAGUCGGGGGUGAAAUCCUGGAGCUCAACUCCAGAACUGCCUUCGAUACUGGCGAUCUUGAGUCCGGAAGAGGUGAGUGGAACUCCUAGUGUAGAGGUGGAAUUCGUAGAUAUUAGGAAGAACACCAGUGGCGAAGGCGGCUCACUGGGCCGUAACUGACGCUGAGGAGCGAAAGCAUGGGGAGCGAACAGG
rnacentral:rRNA from 1 species